AUAUUAAAAUUUUAUUGUGGAUCCAUUUCUUGCAUGCUUAUCCUGCCGUACCUGUAGGCGGAUGGGGAAUGGGUAAAAGCAUUAAUAAGGUAAACAAGUUCAACACGUGCACGGAGCCUCAGACUAGUCCAGUCGCGGAGGCUAUGAGCGCAAGCGCGGGGAGAUGAAAGCAGACGCUUAGAUUAUUUUAUUCGUCUUCAUCGUCUGAUGCAAAUAAGGCUUUGUAGUAGCAAUCAAUCAAAUGGUGUUGUGCUACCCUUCCACACCUAAGAAGUUGGUAUCAACGGUGGCAUGCUUCCUUGGUGGUGCUUGUCUAUUUGGCUACGGGUUGCAUCUGUGGCACUCCAACAUUGGCCCUCAGCAAGCUCGGAUUAAAGCUCGGAAUGAGUUUGUCAGACAGCGUUUGAGACAGAAACAUGGAAAGGAGUAGACUGCCCAUAUCAAUAUGCUCCAGUUAUUCACGGCCUUCACCGCUGCUGGGAGUAAUGCUACUUGUCAUUGGAUCACUGGCUAUUCAGAAAUUAUGGUGGUGGUGUUUCGAACGGUUCAACUUGAAAUGACUCUAGUAGAAUUCACUACAAGACUCGGCUGCGUGUAGUCUCUUCAAUGUAGCUUGCAGUUUGCUAGGAUUUUCUAUUACCUGACUCGCUGAAAAUAAUAACAAUGUUGCCCUGAUUAUGAAUUUACUGGAUCAAAAUUAAUAAGAUCACUCGUACAGCAAGGAUUGAGAGAUCAAUGGUCGUAACCGUCUUCCCUCUUCUCUGUGUGAGUUGUCUUCCUCCACCUGAUUAAUAAGAUUGAUUACACUAUUCAGCAUUCUGUUCA